AUAAAUUGAUUUAUGGCAGUAAAUGCACAGGUACUGAAAAUGGCAGCUGUAGUUUUUUUGAUACCCAUCUGUUCUCCUCUUACUCCAUCUGUUUCCUUCACUCAUUGCACUGGAAUUCAGCUUCACAAAAUGCAGUCCAAACUCUUUCAUGUAGCACAGUGUAAGUUACCUAGUAACCCAGCUAAAAGACAUUUUCAAAAUAAUCACUCUCCUUGUACUCUGUAGAAGGCAACAGACAUGGAUUUUGUGGUUAAUAUACGUCUGAAUGGUUUUUUCAACAAAAUAUACAACUGUCAGUAAAUUUCCUCUGAUUUCAGAUGGUACAUUUGGAAAUAAUACCAUAAAGGCUCAUUAUUUUAAACAACUAUUGAUUACACCCUGGGGAUUUUCACCAACUCCACUUGAUACUGCUUUUAAAAUGAAUAGAAAGGAUCAGAUGAAUACCUUAAUUGGAAGGCCUCAAACAGGACAGAUACAAGACCUGCAGCUUUCCUCUGGUGCAGUGUUACCAGUCUGAGACAGACCAUGACAACCACUGUGAAGUGCUGAAUUCAGUGAACGAGCCUGGUGAUGGCAAUCAGGGAUGCCACACUGCACAGCAACAGACUGAGCCUGUCUUUCUUGGCAGCUGACUACACCCCUUUACUGCACCUGUGUCUCAAAGCCAGGACUGCAAUUAAAGCUGAGACUGAAGAAUCCUCUGAGUUCCUUGGAAAAGGAGAAUUUAUCAAGACACUUUAAAAUUUAUUUAGAUGUAUCGUGUAACAAAUCAGCUCGCCCUCACAGGACCUAAGCAUUUAGGACUAUUCUUCCUUGUUUUCCUUGGCUUUUUGGAUGGAUUUUUUUUUUUUUGUCUCUUUAAUUUAUUUCUACAUAAAUUAAACAUUUCCAGGAACAAUGGCAUGUCAAAUCUUAAACUUCUACUUCCUUUAACAUAAUACUUCUAGUACUGUAACCUGUGUUUAUCCUACUAGACCUGAUUUACACAACUCUUUUCACACUUUCUAGUAGUCAGUGGCUACACUCAUCUAAAGACUCCAUUGUGAGUAUCUGCAACAGCAGAUAUUUACAUAAAAGACAUUGCAAAAAACAUACAAGAAUACUGAAGUGUUACUUAAAAAUAACAUUAGUUUCUGGACAGAUGUGCAAGAGCUUACUUUCAUAUUAGUCCAUGUAAGCCUACAUAAUCUCCUGACAAUCCGGAAUCUAAAAUACAUGCUUUGUGCAUCACUGCAUACUC
rnacentral:lncRNA from 1 species